UACGGAGGGUGCAAGCGUUAUCCGGAUUUACUGGGUUUAAAGGGUGGUGUAGGCGGGUCGUAGUAAGUUCUAGUGGUGAAAAUCUCCCGGGCUCAACCCGGAAACGUGCCAUUGAUACUAUAGGUCUUGAAUAUUGUGGAGGUGGGCGGAAUGUGUCAUGUAGCGGUGAAAUGCUUAGAGAUGACACAGAACACCGAUUGCGAAGGUCAGCCCACUACGCAACUAUUGACGCUGAGGCACGAAAGCGUGGGGGAGUCAAA
rnacentral:rRNA from 1 species